AAAACAUCCUCCAAGGUAUGAAGGUAAAUUGAAUUCUAUUUCCAAUCCCAAGGGAUUUCAAUGCUUCAAAUGCCAAGGGUGGGGGCACAAGGCUAGUGAGUGCCCAAACCGGAGGAACGUGAUCCAAAGGGAGGGAAAAUUGUACUAUCUUGGGGAAGAAGUAGUAAUUGAAUCGGCUAAGGUUGAUGGCAAGCCUCAAGAUGGAGAGCAAAAAGAGGUUAAAAUGCAAUGCGAGGAA
rnacentral:lncRNA from 1 species